rnacentral:rRNA from 1 species
UACGGAGGGGGCAAGCGUUGUUCGGAAUUACUGGGCGUAAAGCGUGUGUAGGCGGGCGGGCAAGUACCUCGUGAAAUCCCACGGCUCAACCGUGGAACGGCUGGGUAUACUGCCUGUCUUGAGCCAGCUAGGGGCGACCGGAACAGACGGUGGAGCGGUGAGAUGCGUAGAUAUCGUCUGGAACGCCAAAGGUGAAAACAGGUCGCUGGGGCUGAGCUGACGCUGAGACACGAAAGCCAGGGGAGCGAACGGG